GCAACCCAAACCAUUCACGCUUCAAGAUCGUCCCCGGCUACAGCGUCCAGGCCGACGGCUCUGUAUGCUUCACCGUCAUGACCCAGACCUGCACCGGCUCCGCCACCUGCUGCAAGGUCAAGACCGCCAACAAGCUGGAGAUCAACGUCAACCCCACCUGCAACCGCGCAAUUCUGACCGCCACUGUAAACGGCCGGCGCACCUUGGCGCCCACCUUUGACGAGUACGGCACCGCGGACCAGCAUGCGCUGUACAAG
rnacentral:lncRNA from 1 species